rnacentral:rRNA from 1 species
CACGGGGGUUGCGAGCGUUGUCCGGAAUUACUAGGCGUAAAGGGCAGGCAGGCGGAUCCAUAAGUUUAUCGUUUAAGGCGUCGGCUUAGCCGGCGUAGGGCGGUAGAUACUGUGGAUCUGGGAAUGCGGUUGGGGAAGACAGAAUUCCUGGUGUAGCGGUGGAAUGCGCAGAGAUCAGGAGGAAUACCGAAGGCGAAGGCAGUCUUCCAAGCCGUUAUUGACGCUCAACUGCGAAGGUGUGGGUAUCAAACAGGAUUAGAUACCCGGGUAGUCCCUGA